CCGUUGGACGAUGAAGAGAUGGUGGGCUAUAUCAUAAAUGGGUUGGAUGCUGAAUUUAAUCCCGUGACUUCUGCUCUCAUCAUAAGAGUGGAACCCAUCACCAUGCCCGAGCUAUUCUCUCAACUUUUAAGUUUUGAGA